rnacentral:sRNA from 1 species
AUAAGAGAGAAGAAAGAAAAAA